AGUGAACGCUGGCGGCGUGCCUAAUACAUGCAAGUCGAACGGAGUGGCGCACGGGUGAGAAAUAUAUAGCUAAUCUGCCCCUUGCUGGAGGACAAAAGUUAGAAAUGACUGCUAAUACUCCAUAGCAAGGGAUGAGACUAUAGCGUAUCAGCUAGUCGGUGUGGUAACGGCCAACCGAGGCUAUGACGCGUAACUGGUAUGAGAGGAUGAUCAGUCAUCUUGUAACUCAGACACCGUCCAAACACCUUCGGCAGGCAGCAGUAGGGCAUAUUGCGCAAUGGGGGCAAACCUGACGCAGCAACUCGGCGUGGAGGAUGAAACUUUACGGAGCGCAAACUCCUUUUGUUAGUGAAGCGGUACCUAACGCAUAAGCACCGGAUAACUCCGUGCCAGCAGCCGCGGUAAUUC
rnacentral:rRNA from 1 species